AAAAAAGAGAACAUUGUUGUUAGUAACACGCAGAAGAACAACCGCUCAUCAAAAGUCUUUCGGUCGGCGCCGCUUCAUGACUGGUUAGACGAAUAAGUGCAUAUAGUGUUGGUUGAUUGAAAGUUGAUUGUUAGAGGAAGGGAGUAACAACAAGAAAGAAUCAUUUGAGGUAUCAUGAAUAUUGAUAAGUCUUGGAUUUCUAAGCUGCAUACUUCACCUGAAUACGAAAUUGGUUUAGAUAAAUUCUUAGAUUUUGCAUUUAAGAAUGCG